AAGGUCUUAAGGAAUUGUCAAAUAUCGGACCAGAGGCAAAGUUAAAGGAAAGGGUCAAAGUGCUUGAUGAUGGACAAGAUCAUUUCUGUUGAAGAAAGAAGACAUUCUGCAAAUCAACAACACACAUCCAAAAUAACUUCAUAAUUGGUGGAAAGGAGGCUGGCUACAUCUAUUGGCAUAAUUUGGUUCAUUUACAUGCUCUGCAAACAUCCUGAGAUUCAAGAUAAGGGACAUGUAACCAUUACAUCCUAAAGGUUCUUCAAGGUGAUGGAACAUUCACAGUUGACUGGGACAA